UUCUCUGAGAGUUUGAUCCUGGCUCAGGAUGAACGCUGGCGGCGUGUCUAAGGCAUGCAAGUCGAACGCUCCUUCGCUCUUCACUUCGUUUAGAGCUUCGGAAGCGCACGGCGGGCUUUGUAAAAAGUCAGCUGUGCUCUCCGUAGCUCAAGCGUAGCGAUGAGUGGAGGAGAGUGGCAAACGGGUGCGUAACACAUUGGUAACCUGCCUCGAAGACGGGCACAACCCUUCGAAAGAGGGGCUAAUUCCCGAUACGGAUGCGGGGGCGCAAGCCAUUCGCAUUGAAAGCUCAAAAGGCACUUCGAGAGGGGCCUAUGGUCUAUCAGCUAGUUGGUGAGGUAACGGCUCACCAAGGCUCUGACGGAUAGCAGGCGUGAGAGCGCGACCUGCCUCAGUGGGACUGAGACACUGCCCACACUCCUACGGGAGGCUGCAGUCAAGAAUCUUCCUCAAUGGACGAAAGUCUGAAGGAGCGACGCCGCGUGCAGGAUUGAAGCCCUUCGGGGUGUAAACUGCUUUUACCAGGGACGAAUUUCGAUGACGGUACCUGGAGAAUAAGAGGUUGCUAACUCUGUGCCAGCAGCAGCGGUAAUACAGAGACCUCAAGCGUUAUCCGGAUUUAUUGGGCGUAAAGCGUCCGCAGGUGGCUGCGUAAGUCAUUGGUCAAAUCGUUGGGCUCAACCCAGCGGCUGCCGGUGAUACUGCGCGGCUUGAGGACGGGAGAGGCGAGCGGAAUUGCCGGUGUAGUAGUAAAAUGCGUUAAUAUCGGCAAGAACACCAAAGGCGAAGGCAGCUCGCUAGAACGUUCCUGACACUCAUGGACGAAAGCGUGGGGAGCGAAUAGGAUUAGAUACCCUAGUAGUCCACGCCCUAAACGAUGUGUGCUAGGUAUUGGGAGUAUCGACCCUCCCAGUGCCGCCGAAACAAGCUAACGCGUUAAGCACACCGCCUGGGGAGUACGGCCGCAAGGCUAAAACUCAAAGGAAUAGACGGGGACCCGCACAAGCGGUGGAGCAUGUGGUUCAAUUCGACGGUAAGCGAGGAACCUUACCAAGGUUUGACAUGGCACUGCAAGCGCACGGAAACGUGUGACCUUCGAGGGUGUGCCACAGGUGCUGCAUGGUUGUCGUCAGCUCGUGCCGUAAGGUGUACCGUUAAGUCGGGAAACGAGCGCAACCCCCAUCGUGUGUUUAAUAACCACGCGAGACUGCCCGCGUUAAGCGGGAGGAAGGCGGGGAUGACGUCAAAUCAGCAUGGCCCUUACGCCUUGGGCUACACACGUGCUACAAUGGCGCGCACAAUGGGUCGCGAAGCGGCAACGCGGAGCUAAUCCCACCAAAACGCGUCUCAGUUCGGAUUGAGGUCUGCAACCCGACCUCAUGAAGCUGGAAUCGCUAGUAAACGCGUAUCAGCCACGGCGCGUUGAAUACGUUCUCGGGUCUUGUACUCACCGCCCGUCACGCCAAGAGAGUCGGUAAUACCUGAAGUGCCCGCAAGGGUCCCAAGGUAGGAUCGAUGAUAGGGGCGAAGUCGUAACAAGGCAUCCGUAGCGGAAGCUGUGGAUGGAUCACCUCCUUUCUAGGGAG
rnacentral:rRNA from 1 species